AUUAUUAUAUCACUUGUUCAAUGACUCGUCAUAGUUAGCUACCAUACCACACCCUCCGAAAAUAUAUAUUAUUUCAGUGGCCACCUUGUGUUUGCUUCACACAUUCCUCAAUUCAACAAUAAUGGCCAAUCUCUCUCUACCGAACACGCUUCAGCUUCCUUUCAAACAAGACAUCUUCCAAUCCAAAAGGUUCUCCCCUGCACACCUUCCUCGCCAAAACUCUCAACUUGGCGUAUCAAAAUCCAUAGAAUUCGAAAGAAAAACAUCCACCAGUACUGCCAUACCUCGUGUCUUGUCCAAAGCAAGCGAGUCAUUAACAUCCACGAUCACCAAGCAUGAGAAAGAAGAGGACUAUAAUACCAAUACAAACACCAAAGAACCAGAGCGAAAACUGGCCGAUGUGUGGAGAGAAAUCCAGGGAAAAGAUGACUGGGUCGGCCUUCUUGACCCAAUGGAUCCACUCUUACGAUCAGAACUCAUCAGAUAUGGCGAGAUGGCACAAGCUUGCUAUGAUGCUUUCGAUUUCGAUCCGUUUUCAAAAUAUUGUGGCAGCUGCAGAUUUAUGAGUCACAGGUUUUUCGAGUCUCUGGGAAUGACACGACAUGGAUACGAGGUCACUAGAUACUUGUAUGGCACAUCAAAUAUCAACCUUCCGAAUUUUUUCAAAAAAUCUCGCUGGCCUAAAGUUUGGAGCAACGUAGCCAAUUGGAUUGGAUACGUGGCAGUUUCCAACGACGAAACAACAAAACGUUUAGGCCGCCGUGACAUUACUGUUGCGUGGAGGGGCACGGUGACACGUUUAGAGUGGAUUGCUGAUUUAAUGGACUUUCUCAAGCCAGUCAAUGGUAAUAAAAUCCCGUGUCCGGAUCCCACUGUUAAAGUCGAAUCCGGAUUCUUGGAUCUUUAUACGGACAAAGAUGAGAAUUGUCGGUUUUGUAAAUAUUCAGCUAGAGAGCAGAUUUUAGCGGAGGUUAAAAGGUUGACUGAAAUGUAUGCCGAUGAGGAAAUGAGCAUUACAAUUACUGGUCACAGUUUAGGCGGUGCCCUGGCUAUGCUAAGUGCAUACGAUAUCGUGGAAACGGGUUUACAUGUGAUGCAAGAUAGUCGGGCAUUGCCUGUUUCUGUGUUUUCCUUUUCGGGUCCUCGGGUCGGGAAUGUUAGGUUCAAGAAAAGGAUUGAAUCAUUGGGGGUUAAGGUUUUGAGGGUGGUUAACGUGCAGGAUGUGGUGCCUAAAUCACCUGGAUUGUUUUUUAAUGAACAAGUGCCGCCCAUGUUGAUGAAGUUGACUGAGGGAUUGCCAUGGUGUUACUCGCAUGUUGGAGUGGAGCUGGCUCUGGAUCAUAAGAAUUCGCCAUUUUUGAAACAAACGGGCGACCCGGUUUGUGCACACAAUUUGGAGGCUCUUUUGCAUUUGCUUGAUGGCACACCCAUGUUUCUUCCGAAAGUUACAACAUGGAUUUUGUUAAUGUUUUAUCUUCUUUUAUGAAAUGUUCAUCCAUAAAAAAAGGAGAGAGAUUAAGAAACAAAGAUAGUCAGCUUGACUCUCUUUGAUUACGAGAAACCAAAACAAUUGACGAGAAAUUAAUGUCGAGAAGUUAGAAAGUCAAAUCAUGAGACAAUACACUUCAUCGACGUGGAAUGGAAAGUGUCAAGAGGGAAUUCAGCUUCGAAGAAGAGGCGUGUAACGUGUAGAUUUUACAAUUCAUCGACCUGGAAUGGAAAGUGUCAAGAGGGAAUUCAGCUUCGAAGAAGAGGCGUGUAACGUGUAGAUUUUAGAGAGUUGUUCGAUUCUAACUCUAUAGAAAUCAUGUUCAUCUACUUCCAUUCACACUUGGUCAAUGGAAGGUACCAUGGAAAAGGGCAGAGAUUUGUUCUGGCCAGUGGAAGGGACCCUGCAUUGGUAAAUAAGGCGUGUGAUUUCUUGAAAGAUCAUUACUUGGUUCCACCAAACUGGAGGCAAGAUGAGAACAAAGGUAUGGUGAGGAACGGUGAUG